GAUGGUCCUAGCUGUUUCAUGGGCCCKCUARMKRCRKGCUSKRGCGSCCGCCWSUGUGAYGGAUAUCUGCMSAAUUCGCCCUUAGAGUUUGAUCCUGGCUCAGAACRAACGCUGGCGGCGUGCCUAACACAUGCAAGUCGAACGGAAUGAAGGGGCUUGCUCCUCAAUUUAGUGGCGCACGGGUGAGUAACGCGUAGAUAAUCUGCCUGACGAUCUGGGAUAACACUUCGAAAGAGGUGCUAAUACCGGAUAAGCCCACGGGGUCUUUGGACUCUGCGGGAAAAGGGGGGGACCUUUUGGCCUUCUGUCGUCAGAUGAGUCUGCGUACCAUUAGCUAGUUGGUAGGGUAAUGGCCUACCAAGGCUACGAUGGUUAGCUGGUCUGAGAGGAUGAUCAGCCACACUGGAACUGAGACACGGUCCAGACUCCUACGGGAGGCAGCAGGGGGGAAUUUUGCGCAAUGGGGGAAACCCUGACGCAGCAACGCCGCGUGAGUGAUGAAGGCUUUCGGGUCGUAAAGCUCUGUCAGAGGGGAAGAGAUGAGACUGGCUAAUAUCCAGUUUUCUUGACGGUACCCUCAAAGGAAGCACCGGCUAACUCCGUGCCAGCAGCCGCGGUAAUAC
rnacentral:rRNA from 1 species